AGGUGCUCGCUGAUAAAGGCUAUGAUGGUAUGGCUGCAGAUGUAUGGUCCUAUGGCAUAAUCUUGUUUGUUCUUAUGGCUGGAUACUUACCCUUUGAUGAUGCCAAUCUGAUGAGACUGUACAAACUGAUCUGCCAUGCAACUUUUUCUUACCCACCAUGGUUUUCUUCUGGAGCAAGGAAGUUUAUUAAGCGCAUUCUCGAUCCUAACCCUGAUACCAGGAUAAAAAUUUCAGAAAUUUUGGAAGAUGAAUGGUUCAAAAAAAGGCUAUAAACCACCACAUUUUGAACAAGGCAAAGAUGUUAACCUUGACGACGUUGAUGCUGCAUUCAUUGAUUCAGAGGUAUUAUAUAGACCAAAUGUUCAUUUUGAAUCUACGACUAUCUUGAAAAUCUUCCUAGAAAUAUUACGUGCUUUAAAAGCAUUUUUACAUUCUAUUUUAUGUUCACAUUAUCAUUCAUGAGGCAACUUGUUUACUGCAACCGCCAUCACUUGCAGGGCUGGAAAUCUGGUGCUGUAACUACUUUAGGCCAAGGUGGUAGCGACUUGAUUGCUACAACCAUUGGUAAAGCCUUGGGACCGAGAGAAAUUUAUGUCUAUGUUUAGUCUGAAUAGAUAUUUAAUAAACCAUAUUUUUCUUUCUGAGGAAAAAAGUUGAGACAACAGUUGAUGCUAAUCACUAAGCUAGCAUGUGCAUUUCAUGAAAAUCGUUGCUUAUCCCCAUACAUUGCCUAAUUGGUCUGAAAGCAUACUGUGCUUGUGAUAGGUAUGGAUCGACGAGAUGGGUUGCUUGUCCCCAUACAUAUUUUUUCUUUUGUUUUGUCACUAAUGAAUCUUUGUACAAAUUAUUUUUUAAAUGCUUAAGAAAAGAGUUCUGGAACUAAACAACGGUACAGGAUAUUCAUCCUUAUUACACGUGUAUUUUGAGCAGGCUGCUUCUCAGUGAAUAAACGAAUCUUUCAGUUGCAUACUUCUCAAAAACGAAAGAUCAUGUUAAGUAGAUAAACAUCUGUUCCCUUUUUACCUUUCAAAGCUAUAUUUAUUGUUGCUUGGCAUUUGCUUUACUAACCAUCAUGAAUUGAACAUAUAGCUCAUGAUGUCAGUCUCCUGAACAGAAGCGAGAAAUUUAGGAUUGUUAUUAUGGACUGUUCACUUUAAUGCAGGUUUUGCAUCCAUAAUCGAUGAGACCUAAUAAAGAAGGUGAUAUUCCAGUUAGGGUUAAGAAUUCAUACAACCCUAAAGCUCCAGGAACCCUAUUUGCUACUGCCGAGCAAUGUAGUGCUGUUGUAACACUGAGGAUGUUGUACUAACAUGACAUCAUAUUAAAAAGAUUUUGAGAGCAAUAUUUCUCGGCCUUUUAGCUAAGGUGUUAUAUUUGUGCUUAUUAGUUUAAUAUCUGAUAUGUGAACUAUAUGUUCACUCUGAUAUUAAAUUUAUUUUUUAUGGAUAUUAAAUAUGUUUGUGUGC